rnacentral:rRNA from 1 species
UAUGGGGAUAAUACCGCAAGUGACCCACCUGAUACCAUUCCGAACUCAGAAGUGAAACCUUGUAGGGCCGAUGAUAGUUUAAUGCGAAAGUAGGACAUCCCCAUUU